rnacentral:rRNA from 1 species
UAGGGAAUCUUCCGCAAUGGGCGAAAGCCUGACGGAGCAACGCCGCGUGAGUGAUGAAGGUCUUCGGAUCGUAAAACUCUGUUAUUAGGGAAGAACAAAUGUGUAAGUAACUAUGCACGUCUUGACGGUACCUAAUCAGAAAGCCACGGCUAACUACGUGCCAGCAGCCGCGGUAAUACGUAGGUGGCAAGCGUUAUCCGGAAUUAUUGGGCGUAAAGCGCGCGUAGGCGGUUUUUUAAGUCUGAUGUGAAAGCCCACGGCUCAACCGUGGAGGGUCAUUGGAAACUGGAAAACUUGGGUGCAGAAGAGGAAAGUGGAAUUCCAUGGGUAGCGGUGAAAUGCGCAGAGAUAUGGAGGAACACCAGUGGCGAAGGCGACUUUCUUGUCUGUAACUGACGCUGAUGUGCGAAAGCGUGGGGAUCAAACAGG